rnacentral:tRNA from 1 species
GGGCAUGUAGCUCAGUGGUAGAGCGGCCGUUUCGCAUACGGAAGACUUGGUGUUCGAUCCACUGCUCGUCCA